ACUCCUACGGGAGGCAGCAGUGGGGAAUAUUGCACAAUGGGCGCAAGCCUGAUGCAGCAACGCCGCGUGCGGGAUGACGGCCUUCGGGUUGUAAACCGCUUUCAGCUUCGACGAAGCGCAAGUGACGGUAGAAGCAGAAGAAGGACCGGCCAACUACGUGCCAGCAGCCGCGGUGAUACGUAGGGUCCGAGCUUGUCCGGAAUUAUUGGGCGUAAAGGGCUUGUAGGCGGUUUGUCGCGUCGGAAGUGAAAACUCAGGGCUUAACCCUGACCUGCUUCCGAUACGGGCAAACUAGAGGGAUGCAGGGGAGAACGGAAUUCCUGGUGAGCGGUGGAAUGCGCAGAUAUCAGGAGGAACACCGGUGGCGAAGGCGGUUCUCUGGGCAUCUCCUGACGCUGAGAAGCGAAAGCGUGGGGAGCAAACAGGCUUAGAUACCCUGGUAGCUACGAGU
rnacentral:rRNA from 1 species